CAUUACUGAAAGAUGAUAGGGUCUUGAGACUGCAUAUAACUGCGUGCUCGACUCUUACUCUUUUAUUCCACACACCUUUGUGCACCAUGGGACUUUGGUCCCCCAUUAUUAACACCUAGUUAUAUGCAUGUGUAAUACUCUAUGGAGUAAUGUACAACUUUUAACAACGGAUCUCUUGGCUUUCGCAUCGAUGAAGAACGCAGCGAACGUGCGAAACGUAAUGUGAAUUGCAGAAUUCAGUGAAUCAUCGAAUCUUUGAACGCAUCUUGCGCUCCUUGGCAUUCCGAGGAGCAUGCCUGUUUGAGUGUCGUAUAGUACUCUCAAUUUCGAUUUGAAAUUGGAUUUGGGUGUUGUUGUGGGAUCACAACUCAUCCUAAAUGCAUUAGCGAUCUGCCAUUGAUCACAUGCAAUGUGAUAAGAAAAAGCAUUGUUAGGGAUUGAUUCGGGAUGGCUUCAAAUAGACAUUUAAUUAUUUUGACCUCAGAUCAGGUAGGACUACCCGCUGAACUUAAGCAUAUCAAUA
rnacentral:rRNA from 1 species